GACGAACGCUGGCGGCGUGCUUAACACAUGCAAGUCGAGGGCAUCUGGGUAGCAAUACACAGGUGACCGGCGAACGGGUGCGUAACACGUGAGCGACCUUGCCUAGUGGUGGGGGAUAGCCGGCCCAACGGCCGGGUAAUACUGCAUAAGGUGGUUUCUUCGCAUGGAGAGACUAGCAAAGCCUUGCAGCAAUGCAAUGGCGCCACAGGGGGGCUCGCGGCCUANCAGCUAGUUGGGGGGUAAUGGCCCACCAAGGCGACGACGGGUAGCUGGUCUGAGAGGAUGGCCAGCCACAUUGGGACUGAGAGACGGCCCAGACUCCUACGGGAGGCAGCAGUGGGGAAUCUUGCGCAAUGGCCGAAAGGCUGACGCAGCGACGCCGCGGUGGGGGAGGAA
rnacentral:rRNA from 1 species